rnacentral:lncRNA from 1 species
GCUGUCCUUAGAAACACGUCAGCCCCCCAGCUGUGACAUCAGAAACACCUCGCAUCACGCAAACAGGCUGCUGCAGCAGGAGGCACUCUAGACCUGGGCCCCAGAGCCUGAAAAUGCCUGGACAGAGUAAACGCGACCUGCUGCCGGGACAGGACACAGCACCCUUUACUCUCUGGUCUCCCUGUUACACCUUUGGAAAUGUGGGAACUUUCUAGUGACCUGUCCUCAAGCUUACUGAUUCUCUCCCUGCCCUUUCCAGUCCACUGACGAGCCCAUGGAAGGCAUUCUUUAUUUCUGUCACAGUGCUUUUAGGUUCUAGCAUUUCCUUUGGAUUCUUUCUUAGAGUUUCCAUCUCUGCUUACAUUUCAUGUCUGUUCUUCACACAUGUUUCCUUGUCUAAUUUUCUAUUAGUGUCCCUAACAUAUAAGUAACAGUUAUUUUAUUUUCCUGUCUGAUAAUUCCAGAAUAUGAGCAUAUCUGAGUCUGGUUGUGAUGCUCACAUUGUCUCUAUAGAUAGUUUCUCUUGUCUUUGAGCAUGUCUUGUAAUUUUCUGUUGAAAGCAGUCAUCUGUUGGAUAACAAGAACUGAGAUGAAUAGACCAUCGGAUGAGAUUUCAUGCUCUUCUGGCUAUGAGUUUGGCUGUUUAGUGUCUGCUGUAGCUGUAGGUGACAGAGGUUUCAAAUUUCUCUGAGUCCUUGUUUCUGUCUCACCUGUUGACGUUGGGCUUCCCUAGGUACUGCUCCUCAGGGAGAGUGCACAUCACGGCUGUCAGCUCCACUGCACUGUUGUUGAACUGGAGGCCCCGUGUGUGGUGCUACUGCCUGGGGGAGGGGGCCGCUUUCUGCAAGACUGGUUAAAUCUCAGUCACUCGUGGGCCUGUGUCCCUGGGCUGUGACCCUCACAGUGUUUCUUAGCUUCCCCCUUGGGUGAGACUCAAAGGCUGGAGGUGCUGGAGUGGGAGAGAUGCCGUUCCCCAGGGGAUCUGGUAAGGUCUUCCCUGGAGAGUGGGCCUUGGUUAUGGGGAAGGCGCUGGGUGUAUUUCACAAGGAUUACUCUUCCCUUUCCCCUUUCUGACCCACGUGGGGGUCUUUCUCAGAUCUUCUGCAAGAGCCUGGUGGGGUUCCUGGAGGUAAAGCCCAGAAAAGUAUGAGGGCCCCUCAGACUGUGUCUCCCAGGACUUUCUCCCUCCCAGCCAGCCCACACUCAGCCUCUGGAAAACCACCCCAAUCGCCAGUGGAGUGCUCCCAUCAGCAUGACGUCAGCAGCUUCUCUUCCAGAACCAGUCCACGUGCAGAGGCAGAGCCAGACACCUAGACGGCUGGUAUCUUCUUUGUGACCAGUCGGUUGAAGGACAUGACGCAGUGUGAGGGCAGGUGGUCUGAGGAGCGCUUCCCGCCCCUCAGCUGCAGCGGGAACCCGCAUCUGCACAGCGGGGCGCACGCGCAGGAUGGCCGCCUCGCUCUGGAAAUCAGUAUCAGGAACUUUAACAGUCCUCUCUGCCCAGGUGACGUGCAGGGCAGUGGCUGUCAC